rnacentral:rRNA from 1 species
CCUACGGGCGGCUGCAGUGGGGAAUAUUGGACAAUGGGCGAAAGCCUGAUCCAGCCAUGCCGCGUGUGUGAAGAAGGCCUUCGGGUUGUAAAGCACUUUCAGUGGGGAAGAAAGCCUUGGGGCUAAUACCCUCGAGGAAGGACAUCACCCACAGAAGAAGCACCGGCUAACUCCGUGCCAGCAGCCGCGGUAAUACGGAGGGUGCGAGCGUUAAUCGGAAUUACUGGGCGUAAAGCGCGCGUAGGCGGUCUGAUAAGCCGGUUGUGAAAGCCCCGGGCUCAACCUGGGAACGGCAUCCGGAACUGUCAGGCUAGAGUGCAGGAGAGGAAGGUAGAAUUCCCGGUGUAGCGGUGAAAUGCGUAGAGAUCGGGAGGAAUACCAGUGGCGAAGGCGGCCUUCUGGACUGACACUGACGCUGAGGUGCGAAAGCGCGGGUAGCAAACAGGAUUAGAUACCCGUGUAGUC